UUUGCAGUUCUAUUCCUUGUGUGUUAGAGUUUGGGGUUCUUUAUUCCCGCCUUUUUGUUUUCAAAAUCUGUAACCGUCAAUGCCACCUCAUUAGGCUACUGUACUGAUUUUCUGGAGCUCAGCACUUUCAACAGUUUAACGUGUGUGACCAGCUCUGUUCAGAUAGGGUAACGUUAUCUUCUCUUCUCCAUUAACUGUCAAAUGGCAACAGCUCAUCUAGACCAACACUUUCCACAUUUCUACUAUUUUCACACCUGACUGACCUUCCAAACUAUCACGGAAUUGUGCUGAAGUUUUUCACCCUGUGUUUAAGGCUCUGCUUUUUUCUCCCUUUGCGAUGUUCUUGCCUGUCAAGCUGUAUUAGUGUCCUCUCAAAAUAAGUCAUUUAGAAGAACCUUAGCUGAGCAGCCUCUGAACCCCAUUAAAAGCUUGGAGCUCAGAGCCCAGAAGCCUUUGUCUCUUCAGCCUGCAGGAUUAGUGGAGAUUUGCUGCUAAGAAAAAAAAGUAGUUAUUUCAUGGCACUUUCAUGAUGAAACCUGGCCAAAGCUGUGUUGGCUGGGAGGAUUAGAGCCACACAAAGACGCUGGUUGUGUGUGACCCCCUCCCCGAAAACCACCGCCCCGGUGCAAUGCCCCCUCCAAACCCCAAACACACACCAUCCCCACCUCAUAACUCCGGCUCAGUCCGUAAUGAGAGCUGAGUUUUCAUCUCCUGCCCACUAAAAUUGCGUUUCGGCUUUACCCCCGACCCACUCAACAGCUUUAAAGAGACCACAAAGUGGUGGAUGCAUCUGGAAUUUUCUCAUUCGGAUGUUUAUUUACAUAGGUGUAAUUGGAUGCAAACCCAUUAAUUUGUCUUAGUGCCUAGCUAUAUUCAGGAGGUUUGGGCCCUGUCUGUUGAGUUUAAGGGGUUUAGAG